rnacentral:lncRNA from 10 species
UUAGGGAGUUUAACAUGCUCAAGGUUUUUCUUGUAGUCAGAAUUUAGGAAGUUGCUGUGCCAGCCAAGCUCUGGACCCUUGACUCACAGAAAAUCUGGAAGCAGAGCCAGUAUAAUUCAGCAUUACUGAGCCCACUGAGCUCUCCAGGGAAGUAUAAAUUGAGCACAGAAGCUCUGAAAUGGAUUGUAACCACAACAUCAGAGGUUAUAAGACCCUCAUUCCAGAGUGGUACUGCCCUGCGUCUGGGAAGAAGGAAGGCCACACAGAGAGACCAAGAAGAAUCCUAACAGACAGGGCUUGCUUGGUUUCCCCCUCAGUCUCUUACCGUUAGAUCAGACCUCUUUGGUCCUACCACGUUUCUACAUGGCUGUCCAUUCUUCAUCGAAUCUAAGAAUAAAAAUGGAUAGUUUUCCCUGGGUCUUUGGGUCUUCAUUUCUGAAGGCUUCCUGUAUCAGGUAAGACUUUGAUUAAAGAAAUCUGUUCUGUUUUUCUCUUGUUAACCUGCGUUUUGUUAUAGAAGUAUCAGGCAUCACCCUUAUGAUGGGUGAGGAAAGGUAUCAAACAAACACUCAAGAGGUCUCAGGAUAUCAGUUUGCAUGUAAAAGCAUUUUAUACACUUCAGAGGCCUCCACCCUACAAAUAUUAGAGCUUAUUACGACCUUCAAAUUUAUUUACUGUUUUCCAUUUAGAUAGUGAUGUGGCCUAAACAUUUUC